CCUCUCAAAACUUCCGCCUCCCUCAGGAAAAAAAACCCUAAUACAAGAAAACGGCUCCACCUUCAUCCAUUACUUUUGACGCGUUUAUGAGUAGAUCUGGUCCGAUUUUCGACAUUGUUUGUGGUUAGGGUUGAAGUAGAUUGGAAAUUUGUGAAUUGAUUAGAUUUUUUCGAUUUCGAAGUUUUGGGGUAAACUGUAUUCUCGGCAACAAUCAACAGCAGCAACUUCUCCAUCUCUGAUUAAGAAAACCCAUACCUAUUAGCUCACCAUCUCAAACCCUAACCCAAGUUUCCUAAGCUUCAAUUGCUUCAAAUCUUCAUAACAGAACUCAAUUCUUCCAUCUCUAUAAUUCGAACUCAAACGCAAAACCCUAGACUGUUGACAACUCAGAUACCACAAUCUUCGAUUCCACCUUGUUCUCGAUUCAUCAACAUCUUCUUCUCAAUCUAGAACCUCAUCCCAAUUCCAAUAACUGGAUAUUGAUGGUUAUCUCGUCUCUUCAUGGAAUUUGUGUAUGAGUUCGUUAAUUCAUGCUGACUGCUGCCUUAAUUGGUCUUAUUUGGUGCUUUGUCGGAAUUCAGCUGAAGGUGUUAUAAGACAUCGUCGAUGGAGUGAUGGAGGAGUGGAACUGUGAAGAAGAAUGAUGAUGUUGUAUUCAAAGUUUGAGUGUUCUAAUGGCCGAAGGAAUUGCAGGCAGUGGUGAUUGUUCGGUAUACAACAAUACAAUCCUGGGAUUCUAGGUAUGGACUGAUAUGGGGGUUUCGUAUGAACUAAGGUGGUUUGAGCAGCUGAUGGCCUUGAAGAGUUGGUUUGCAGGUAGAUAUGUUCAGGCGGUGCUGAAGAAUGAAUUUGGCUAAGGCUGAUGCUGUUGUGUGGUUGCAAUGAAACCGCAGGUGUGUUGCAGUGAGCUUGAUGGAGAAUACAAGGGGUCCUGAUGUUAAGACUGAGAGCUUGUGAUGAUUGCAGGAUGUCUCAGCUUUAAUGGUGGUCACAAUCAGCUCCAAAUAUCCCAGGAAAUAUACAAAGAAAGCAGCACCACCUACUUCUUCCAUGGAGAUUGGUGCUGAAACCAAAGAGAAGAGGAGGUCCCAAAAACGCUCCUGCCAAGGUCAAGCCUGCUUCAUUAGACAGUGAUAAGGAGGAUGAAGUACCCUCACUUGCAGAGGCAGUUGAACAGCCCCUGACUCGUGCUCGUAAGCUCCAUACUCAUAUAUUCGAUAAAGGCUACAAAAUAGAUCCUACUGUUGUGGCAAAGGAAGCAAGGUGAAGCGGUUCGGAUGUGGUGCUUGUUGAUACAGCGUAUGCAGGUUAAGGGUGGUAUGUUGGUGGCGCGCUUGUGUAGAUAUAUCUCGAUUUUUUAUUAUUUUGUUAUUUAACAAAAGAGAGGAUACAAGUAUCAAUGACCCUGGAACCUAAAGAAGAUGGAGUUUUGUCGUAUGAAGAUCCAUCUGCGGCACAUGCUGCUGCUGGAGGGUUUUAUAACAUGUUACACAAUGGAAGCAAAAUCUGCACCAUGACCUGCACCUGCUUUUGGACAAGGCAGUAGUGGUGGUGGUAGAUGUGGUGGACUUAGAGACAACUACAGAGAUGGAGGUUCUGGGCCUGAUAGACAUCAACAUGGAGGAAACCGUUCACGCCCUUACAGAUGGAAUAUGCACACUGAUAAGCUCAUGUAUUAAGAUAUGCCAAGAAUAAUGCAUCCUUUUUUUUGGAGUUGUUUAGGGAACUUUAAAUUUUUGUAACAAACAUCUAUGUCACUGCCAUUUUUUGUAUGUGUGUGUUUAACACUGGCAGGUUAACAAUGUAAAUGUGUUACACUGGCAGGUUAAUGUGAAUGUGAAAUACUUUCGGCGA